rnacentral:pre_miRNA from 1 species
AUAGGGAGCUCGGGCUCCCAGUAGGGAGCUCGGGCUCCCAGUAGGGAGCUCGGGCUCCCAGUAGGGAGCUCGGGCUCCCAGU